rnacentral:rRNA from 1 species
AUGCAGAGCCACCACCAGAGCAUCACAGCAACACAAGCUGAGCCUACGCAAAGAUCGAGCGAGAAACUAAAAAAAAGCGAGGGAAAUAUGGUGCUGGGCAUGAACUGCUUCGGCGCCCCUGAAGCCGCAAGCAAGGUGUCGCCGGCGGGCAGGCGGCUCGGCGGAGAGGGAGCAGAGGCCAAGGAGCAGAAAGCGGCGGCGAAAGAGGAGGCCGCAGUGAACCGUGCCGUCGGCGAGGCGAAUGAGAUGGGAGCCGAUCAGGUGAAGGCUGCGGGGAAGGAGGUGCACAAGAAGAAGAGGAGCGGGGCUCCAAUAGUGAUGCACCACUUUCCCUUCCAUUCUCGUCCCGGGCUGCUCUGA